UUUCAUUCAAACUUUUAUAUGUUUACACUGCACUUGGCCCUUCUGAUCUGAUGGAGAACAAUUUACCUCCCAAGCACUAAUAUCACCACCAGACGUCGACACUGUACAUUUGCCGUCGUAAAUAUAAACAAAUCAGACUAUAUAACGCACACCAACAAACCACCGCAUUCGUGAAACUGAAAACGUUUUUUUAUUACAGUCAGUUUGGCACUGACUCAGUUUUAAAAACGAAUUCGCUAUUAGCUUUGACGGAAAGCAGCGAUCGUAAAGCAAUUCAUAACAAGUGUUUUUUUUGUUUUGCUACAUUUUGUUUGAAAAUAUGUCAAUAAUACGUGAGAUAGAGGAGUUAGUGAACCAUUAAAUUUAAAAUAACGACAACUCUAUGGCUCGAUGUGUGGCACCCGGAUGCGUGAGUGUUUAGUCAUUGAUACCCUGGUUCGAGUCCAACUCGAAUUAUGAAAACAUAUCCCGCAAAUUAUCAUUCCAUCGAUCCCCAAGGGAUGUGACUAUUCGGAAGAAAUGGCUUCGAUUCUUUGGACAGGACCUAAACAGCAAUACUAAACACAUGUACAUUUGCUCGCAUCACUUCAAUCCAGAUUGUUUCAUUCAUACCGAUGGCUUGGAAGUACAAUACUGAUACAAACAGCUGUUCCUACUGUCAGAAAGGCCAACGAUUCUCAUGCCUCGGGAAAUCAAAACGGACGGCUCGCCGAAAGGUCUUGAUUGACAUCAAGCAACAGCAACAUCCGCGGAGUUGGUCCAGUUUUCUAAUGGGACGAAACAUGACUCUCCCGAGAGGGAUAUUUCGACAAAUGAAAUCGGGAGCAGCACUAUCAACAUCUCUAAUGAAAAACCUAGUGAUUCUGCUAGUUCUGAAACCUUAAUUCAAGCACUGCAGUAGGAGGUAUCGGAGAGCUUCAUGAAGCUAAACUCUGAAUUACCGAACCACAAUUUCCCCUAGGUUUUGAUCUAAAUAGAUUAUCUUUACGCAGCAAUGAAUAAAUGUAUACAUUUAGCUAAAAUACAAAAGAAAUAAACUUAU